ACCAGCUUAGUUUAAUUGGCAAAACGACGGACCGAUAAUCCGUUAAUCUGGGAUCGUGGCCCGGAGCUGGUACCA
rnacentral:tRNA from 1 species